GCUGAGCACAAUGGCAUGUACCUGUAGUCCCAGCUGCUGGAAAAGCUGUGGUGGAAGGAUCACUUGAGCCCAGGAGUUCUGGGCUGUAGUGUGCUGUGCCCAUGAAGUGCCCACACUAAGUUCAGCAUCAAUACAGUGACUUCCUGGGAGUGGGGCAUCACAGGUUGCCUAAGGAGGGGCAAAUGGGCCCAGAUCAGAAAUGAAUCAGGUCAAAACUCCCAUGCUGAUCAGUAGCGGCAUCACACCUGUAAAUAACCACUGCCCUCCAGCGUAGGCAACAUAAUGGCAUAGCCCUG
rnacentral:SRP_RNA from 10 species